rnacentral:rRNA from 1 species
UACGUAGGGCGCAAGCGUUGUCCGGAAUUAUUGGGCGUAAAGAGCUCGUAGGCGGUUUGUCGCGUCUGCUGUGAAAACCUAAGGCUCAACCUUGGGCUUGCAGUGGGUACGGGCAGACUAGAGUGCGGUAGGGGUGACUGGAAUUCCUGGUGUAGCGGUGGAAUGCGCAGAUAUCAGGAGGAACACCGAUGGCGAAGGCGGCUUACUGGGUCUCUUCUGACGCUGAGGAGCGAAAGCUAGGGUAGCGAACGGG